GCCGAGAUGGCCGAGAUGGUCUAAUGCGUGAGAUUAGGGUGGUUUACUGUAAAUCUCAUCUCUUCGGGGAGUGGGUUCAAACCCCUCUCUCGUCA
rfam:Sphaerobolus stellatus SS14 unplaced genomic scaffold SPHSTscaffold_135, whole genome shotgun sequence.